UGCACCAGCUCUGGAAAGUUCUGCGCUGAACUUGGCCGCAGGAUGUGCACACCCUCGACAGCUGCGGACCACGGCUCAGAUUAGACAUUCGCGCACACGCCUUAAACCACCCACGGAACUACCGGUGACACACUAUCCUCCCCUCCCCCAACGCCGCAGCCAGCUCUCUCUGAAAACUGAUACCCUGAGGCCCUUUUUCCCUUUACCAGCCACGAUUAGGAGCAGUAAGAGAGAAAAUGCGGACCGGAUCGUGGCACACAGGCAGUGCUCCAAACUCUCAUUUUCUUCUGUGUGUUUCGAAAAUUCAGAGAAGAGACACUUGGAUAUAAGCAACCAUAACCUGGGCGUGGUUCCAUCUGAGCUCCACGGCGCCCUGGUCGCCCUCUGCUGGCCGAUCUGAGCAACGUGUCACCGUGUCGGAAGGCCUUUUCAGAACGUCCCAAAUUUAUGUCGAAGGACAAAUACGAGGCUGCUUUGCUAAGGCUCUAACGUACCUGUUUCAUGUGCAUUUUAUUUGUCUUAACUCACGCAUGUGGUAGUAGUGAAAGAGGAUCGCAGGUGUUUUCCUUCGACGAUGUUACAGGGGAUUAAUUAUAAAUGAAUGAUUUCAGAAUUCACCCCCAAAUCUCAAAACAGAAACAAAAAAAAAAACGUCGUCAUUUCUCCUGGGUUUAAACUUAGAGUGAAAUUGCUUAGUUAAGUGUUUGGUUUCAGUAGAGCAUAAAGCCCUGGAAAAAAGCCAAUUACAACAGUCGAUCUGGAAAAGCUAUUUUUGCAUGCAGGAAGGGAGAGAUUGGCUUUGUCUAGUCAGUGCUCUGAGAAAGAUGCGAGUGCAGGUUUGGACUAAGGAAGUCGUCAAACUGUAGGUAAAAAAAAAAAAAAGACGUGAAUUCAUCCAUUGAAAUUGUUUUUAUGACAUUUAAGAAUCAUAAAUUAUUAUUGUGGGAAGACACACAGUAUAUGCUAUAUAGGAUUUUCCAAAAUGUUCAGUAUCAGAGGGGAUUUAAGAGGCGUGGAGGUUGGCCAGAUUGGUGGCGCAUGCCUGUAGUUCUGGCUGCCUGAGAGGCUGAGGCAGGAGGAUCGCUUAGCCCA